GUUUACGGCCAAUAUUAUCAGGUGGGAGCGAAGACGCAUAAACUUACACGCGUUAUGCCUACGAUCAGCUGAUUUCGCACUUCGUGUCAAUUUCGUAACAAGCAAACAAUCGUUCCAAGUAUCUAAAGAGAAAAAACUCCUGGUGCAUCUGAAACGUCAACUUUUACCACAACAAUUAAAAUGUUAUCCAUCCAAAUAACUCCGGGUGUCGGAUUCGAAAAUCAAGGACGGCAGUUUGGCACGGAUUUCAAGCGGCAUGCUGAUUUACUUUCACGCGGACAAUGAAAUUUCGUUCACGGCCAAUACGCUGUUUAAAUAACAGUAGAGAGUGUCGGCGCAUAUCGAGGAGCGUGGGCAAAGUAGCAACGAUUACUCGGAUGGUAUUGAAGAACCAUGAUUCCGGACGUGCUAAUGAUUGCGACACAGUCGCAAUCGCCGUAAACCAAAUCAGAAGGAGCGUAAGAGGGAGGGGGAAAGCAGGUAGAAAGACAUUUGUAUAGUACGCGCCGGACAGAGAGAAGGCGUUGCAUUGUAAACUCUAUGACCGACUUUAUAAGCGAUCGGCUAGGAUACAGUGCCUCCAACGGUCGAUCGGCGCAACUAACCGCCAUGUUGUUUCCAAACCCGAAAUCAAGUUCGCACCACUCUUUACAAAGAGAAAGGUAAACGCUGAUCGCUACCUCGUCCGAAAUUAUGACAUAACUUUGGUUUCGCUGUGUUUUUUUGUGGAAAGGGAAUUGAACGUUCGUAAAAAGAGAAUGGAAUUUUUCUUUUUUCUUUUCC
rnacentral:misc_RNA from 1 species